rnacentral:tRNA from 1 species
GCCUGGCUAGCUUAGUCAGUAGAGCAUGCGACUCUUGAUCUCAAGGUUGUAAGUUCACGCCCCACGUUGGGUA